rnacentral:rRNA from 1 species
CAGCGCCACGAGUGGCAAUCACUUUUAUUUGGCCUAAAGCGUCCGUAGCUGGUUCAGUAAAUCUCUUGUGAAAUCGUUAGGCUCAACCUAACGGCGUGCAGGAGAGACUGCUAAACUAGGGACCGGGAGGAGUCAGAGGUAUGCUGGGGGGAGCGGUAAAAUGCUAUAAUCCUCGGUAGACCACCUGUGGCAAAGGCGUCUGACUAGAACGGGUCCGACAGUGAGGGACGAAAGCCAGGGGAGCAAACCGGAUUAGAUACCCGAGUAGUCCC